GAUGAACGCUGGCGGCGUGCCUAAUACAUGCAAGUCGAGCGAAUGGAUUAAGAGCUUGCUCUUAUGAAGUUAGCGGCGGACGGGUGAGUAACACGUGAGUAACCUGCCCAUAAGACUGGGAUAACUCCGGGAAACCGGGGCUAAUACCGGAUAACAUUUUGAACCGCAUGGUUCGAAAUUGAAAGGCGGCUUCGGCUGUCACUUAUGGAUGGACCCGCGUCGCAUUAGCUAGUUGGUGAGGUAACGGCUAACCAAGGCAACGAUGCGGAGCCGACCUGAGAGGGUGAGCGGCCACACUGGGACUGAGACACGGCCCAGACUCCUACGGGAGGCAGCAGUAGGGAAUCUUCCGCAAUGGACGAAAGUCUGACGGAGCAACGCCGCGUGAGUGAUGAAGGCUUUCGGGUCGUAAAACUCUGUUGUUAGGGAAGAACAAGUGCUAGUUGAAUAAGCUGGCACCUUGACGGUACCUAACCAGAAAGCCACGGCUAACUACGUGCCAGCCGCCGCCGUAA
rnacentral:rRNA from 1 species